AGCCAUCUGCUGGUUGUAAUUUUGGGGCAAAAGAACAGAUAGCUACACUGUCCCCAAAAUAUCACACGCAUGGAAGGAUGUUGGAAAUUAAUGUUGGUAAAAAGAAAGUAUAUGAAAAUGUCUUUAUAAAUUAUAACAUGCUAUAUAAGUGGCAUUACAGUGAUCAAAGGUAAAGCAACACAUAUUAUAAGGAUAAGAUAAAAUUUGAUUACAUAAGCACCUUAGCAGGCCUUAGGACAUAAGAGGCGUCAUCCAUUUCUUCCUCCUUCUUGAGUGCCUGCAGGAGAUGAAUGAGACACAGUCUCCGCCCCCACAGAGCUUGCAAUCUUUUAGGGUCAACCGGGUACUUACGCAUGACGCCAGGCAGACAGUGAUGAGUGCCAUGAGAGCAACGGCUGCCUCCUGUAGGGACAGAAAACACUUUCUCUCUACUCUCUUGAGUUUUCAUAAUUGACUCCAGGACAGUAGGCAGAUGAACAGGAGAAAAAAACAUGCACAUUUAUUACAUGGAUGGGAGCAGCAGGAGAAACAAAAGAUCUGCUCUACCUCCACUCCCAGCCACAAGAUUCAUAAUUAAGGUCAGAUGUCAGCACAACCUAACGGGGAAAGCAGAGCCUGCUAAGGGAGAAGAGGGAUUCUACACCCAAGCAGCUCAGAACCUGGCUGAUGUGUACUGGCAAGAACUGACAGGAUCUCACUCUGUCACCCAGUCUGGAACACGGUGGUGCGAUCACAGCUCACUUCAGCUUCGAACUCCUAGGUUCAAGCGAUCCUCCCACCUCAGCUUCCCAAGUAGGAGCGUACUUUCUGAGUAGGAAACCUCAUGUGGAUGCUGGAAAGGUCACUGAGCUUGUGUGAAAGUGAUACAAAAGUUUGGAUGGCUUUGUGCCAUUAUGGGACAAAAUUCAAUACAGACAAAGCAUGAAGGGCAAAAAGUGAAUGAAUCACUUGUCGAACGAAAUCCAAUUUUCAGAUAUUCAUGAUGCUACAUCCUAUUCACACUUUUCUUUUCCAGUGCUUGUGUGAAAUCAUCACCUUCACAGAUUCACUUGUCCCAACAUGUAAGAGUUCCCAUUCCACAUUUGUGCUGGAGUCUUGUUUAUUAUGUUUGUGUAUGGUGUUAUUCUGGUUGUAGUAUGUAUGUUAUUAUUUCGUUAUUGCCUUUAUGCCUCAAUAAACCAUUUGCACCACUAA